CGUAGUGCCCUCAGCUUGCCCGCCCUGGAAACUCCUUCGUUGGACACCUGGAAUGUAGUGGUGCGUGGGGGGGGGGGCAACAUGUGCAGUGUCCCAUGACAAAAUCGAUGCCAGCCUGCCAGGAACUGAAGCCACAGAAACGUUUCGAUGUGUCAUGAGGCUGCCGUGCCAGGCGCGUCUACCCGAGAGUGAACUCGCUUUGCGUUUUUGUUUUGGAGUACAAGAUGCACAUUGCAUUGUGGAGGAAGAGGAGUGAGAAAUAAAAGGCAGAAUUGUCAUUCUUUAGCUGACCUUUAUUGGCUGUGUAAUUUACUAUAUAUACAUUAUACAAGAACUCGCUUACAAAGAAUUAAGGGGUUCAAGAGUUUUGUGCAUGCCAUGAUGAGUGCAUUACUUAUAUAUGGAGGAAUACAUAGACUGGAAAAACUUUAUUAUCAUCUUAUGGAUUGAUCAGAGACUGAGUGAAAUGCAUGAAUUGGAAAGGUCCCAGGCCUAGACCUGCAACCUCAGGAUUCUUGCUGCCAUCUCACAACCCAUAUUCUGUGGCUCAUUGUCAUGACUUCAGGAGUUGCUAUUUGGACAUGACCAGAAAGACCCUUGCCCCUUUUAU